rnacentral:rRNA from 1 species
CAGUAGCCGCGGGAAUACGUAUGUCACGAGCGUUAUCCGGAUUUAUUGGGCGUAAAGCGCGUCUAGGUGGUUAUUUAAGUCAGAUGUGAAAAUGCAGGGCUCAACUCUGUAUUGCGUUGGAAACUGUGUAACUAGAGUACUGGAGAGGUAAGCGGAACUACAAGUGUAGAGGUGAAAUUCGUAGAUAUUUGUAGGAAUGUCGAUGGGGAAGCCAGCUUACUGGACAGAUACUGACGCUAAAGCGCGAAAGCGUGGGUAGCAAACAGGAUUAGAUACCCCAGUAGUCCCUGUCUCUUAUACA